AACAAGGCGUACCUGCGGACCUGCGGAGGGAUCAUUACAAGUGACCCCGGUCUAACCACCGGGAUGUUCAUAACCCUUUGUUGUCCGACUCUGUUGCCUCCGGGGCGACCCUGCCUUCGGGCGGGGGCUCCGGGUGGACACUUCAAACUCUUGCGUAACUUUGCAGUCUGAGUAAAUUUAAUUAAUAAAUUAAAACUUUUAGCAAUGGAUCU
rnacentral:misc_RNA from 1 species